rnacentral:rRNA from 1 species
UACGUAGGGGGCUAGCGUUGUCCGGAUUUAUUGGGCGUAAAGAGCGUGUAGGCGGCCAGGUAGGUCUGCUGUGAAACUCGAGGCUCAACCUCGAGACGUCGGCGGAAACCAUCUGGCUAGAGUCCGGAAGAGGAGAGUGGAAUUCCUGGUGUAGCGGUGAAAUGCGCAGAUAUCAGGAAGAACACCGUGGCGAAGGCGGCUCUCUGGGACGGUACUGACGCUGAGACGCGAAGCGUGGGGAGCGAACAAG